rnacentral:rRNA from 1 species
AGCCUCUGGCUAUAGGAAAUUGUUAGUGGCAGACGGGUGAGUAUGCGUAGGAAUCUACCUAGUAGUACGGAAUAGCCAUUAGAAAUGGUGGGUAAUACUGUAUAAUCCCCGAGGGGGAAAGAUUUAUCGCUAUUAGAUGAGCCUACGUUAGAUUAGCUAGUUGGUGAGGUAAUGGCUUACCAAGGCUAUGAUCUAUAGCUGGUCUGAGAGGACGAUCAGCCACACUGGAACUGAGAUACGGUCCAGACUCCUACGGGAGGCAGCAGUGGGGAAUAUUGGACAAUGGGCGAAAGCCUGAUCCAGCUAUGCCGCGUGAGUGAAGAAGGCCUUCGGGUUGUAAAACUCUUUCAAUAGGGAAGAUAAUGA